rnacentral:lncRNA from 1 species
GCCGGCUUUGUGGCCUCCCAGGCUUCGCCCUGGCCCCUGUCCGGGCUGGACGGAGGCCGGACCACGGUUCCUGGCGCCUGUGCAGAGAGGGGCAGCCUCCCGCGCGGACGACCCUGGAAACAGGAUAGAUGGGCGGGUGACCCGUGGCCCCGUACCCACGAGUUUCGGUCCCCUGAGGCAUCUCUCCAGGCCUCUGCCUGUAAGAAGAAAAAGAGGAAAGAUAAGAAGAGAAAAAGAGAAGAAGAUGAAGAAACCCAGUUUGAUAUGUUGAUUAGAUCCUGUGCUGAAAGAGAAACCAAGAAAAAAGAUGACAUUCCAGAAGAAUACAAAGGAAAUGUAAAACAAUGUGAAAUCAAUUAUGUAAAGAAAUUUCAGAGCUUCCAAGACCAAAAACUUAAAAUAAGUAAAGAAGAGAGUAAAAUUCUUAAAAAAGGCUCAGAAAGAUGGAUUUUUGCAUGAGACGCUUCUGGACAGAGAACCAAAUUGAAAGCCAACAGAUACUGCAAAUGACUGGAAUUUUUGUUUCUGCCUUAUCUUUUUGUGUUUUUUUUCUGAAUAAAAUAUUCAGAGGAAAUGCUUUUACAGAGUUCUUGAGUUGUUGUGAAAUUAUUAUUUAGCUAGUACCUAGUUUAACCAGGAUUAAACAAGUUUAAUCAGGAUUCUUCAUGGAUGUACUUUUUAGCUAACUACAGUUUUUCACAUGGAAAUGAAACUUACAG